ensembl:lncRNA
GUGUGAUGGAGGAGGUGAUGAUGGGAUGAGAGAGGGUAGAGGUGUGAUGGGAUGGAGGGGUGAUGGGAUGAUGGGAGAGGGGGUAGAGGUGUGUGGAGGGGUGAUGGGAUGAGAGAGGGUAGAGGUGUGUGGAGGGGUGAUGGGAUGAGAGAGGGUAGAGGUGAGAGAGGGUGAGGGGUGAUGGGAUGAGAUGAGGUGUGUGGAGGGUGAUGGGAUGAGAGAGGGUAGAGGUGUGGGAGGGGUGAUGGGAUGAGAGGGGUAGAGGUGGUGGAGGGGUGAUGGGAUGAGAGAGGGUAGAGGUGUGUGGAGGGGUGAUGGGAUGAGAGAGGGGUGUGUGUGGGGGGUGAUGGGAUGAGAGAGGGUAGAGGUGUGUGGAGGGGUGAUGGGGUGAGAGAGGGUAGAGGUGUGUGGAGGGGUGAUGGGAUGAGAGAGGGUAGAGGUUUGUGGAGGGGUGAUGGGGUGAGAGAGGGUAGAGGUGUGUGGAGGGGUGAUGGGAUGAGAGAGCGUAGAGGUGUGUGGAGGGGUGAUGGGAUGAGAGAGGGUAGAGGUGUGUGUAGGGGUGAUGGGAUGAGAGAGGGUAGAGGUGUAUGGAGGGGGGAUGGGAUGAGAGAGGUGGAUGGAGGGGAGAUGGGAUGAGAGAGGGUAGAGGUGUGUGGAGGGGUGAUGGGAUGAGAGAGGUGGUAGAGGUGUGUGGAGGGGUGAUGGGAUGAGAGAGGUGGUAGAGGUGUGUGGAGGGGUGAUGGAUGAGAGAGGGUAGAGGUGUGUGGAGGGGUGAUGGGAUGAGAGAGGGUAGAGUUGUGUGGAGGGGUGAUGGAUGAGAGAG